rnacentral:rRNA from 1 species
GACGAACCGUGCGAACGUUAUUCGGAAUCACUGGGCUUAAAGCGCGUGUAGGCGGAUGGGGACGUCGGUUGUUGAAAGCCCCCGGCUCAACCUUGGAACUGCCUUUGAUACUGUCGGUCUUGAGUUCGAGAGAGGUAAGUGGAACUGCGAGUGUAGAGGUGAAAUUCGUAGAUAUUCGCAAGAACACCAGUGGCGAAGGCGGCUUACUGGCUCGAAACUGACGCUGAGGCGCGAAAGCGUGGGAGCAAACAGG